CGAGGGGUUUCGAUGCGAAACGCGUUCCAUUUCAACGUAUCCGUAGACCGUUUUCAUCUUAACGUCCCGCUGACGCCGUCCCGCUGCGAAACGUCACGGAAAAUACAUAUUUUCGGCCAUCAUAACGAAAUUGCACGACAAUUGUUCCGAAUUUUACGACGCCGCCGUCAGUCCGGACGGUCGUUUUCGUAUAGGACCCGCGAAGUAACGCCCGGCGGAAAUCGCUGCUAUGUGCUGUAGGUACGUCAUGCGAAAGGACGGUCGCGAUUUUUAAAAACGUAAAACAAAAAAAAAAUAACGUCUCGUACAUAUAACGAACGUUUUUUUUUUUUUCGCAAGAGGUAUGGAUUUUUUGUUCUAUUAUACACGUAUAUAAUCAUAAUAUUUCCCGCACAAACCGAAAUCGUAAACAUUUUUUAUUUGCUUUUUGUUUUGCUUUUCGAGCAACUGUACUAUUUCUAUACGAUACGAAUAACACAUAAUUACGGGGGAGCCAAGGGAGGCGGCAAUGUAUUUCGUUUUUCAAUCAUGUUUUCGGUAAAUAAAAGACGCGCGGAACUUUGAUCUAACGUACCAGGUGAUCCAUUUAAGUAGGUACACUAUCAUUAUCUCGGAAAAUAUUGACUUUUUUCGGAAUUUGUUUUCUAGAAUGUUCUAAGACACAAGCGUGCUCUACAAUUUCAUAUUUAUGAUGGAGUAGACAUGAUAGAUAUGAAUUAUUAAUUAAAAUAAUUGUUUGCGUUGAAAUUUUAGAUUUCUGUCAAGCCGUUGACGAGAUAUUCCACUUUUAAAUUUGGGUUAGAGGAGAGUAGUGGUGCAUUGUUAUUAACGCGCCGCGUGCCGCCACACAAAUGAUACUUCACUACUCUCCACCAACUCAAUCUUAAAAGUGGAUUAUCUCGUCAAUGGACUGACGGAAAUCUAACAUUUUAACUAAUACUCCACAGAUUUGUGGAAUUUUUAAUAUAUAUAUAUAGGUUGCCAUUUGAAAAUCUAAAUCAGGUAGUGGUUUCACCCCCAAAAAUAUGAAUGAAUGUAAAAUUUUAGAGCAGCUUAUUGUUUCUUAAAUUUUCUAGAAAAAGUACACACUUCCGAGAUAAUAAGUGUACCCACUUAAAUGGAUCACCUGCGGGUAUAGAUGUCUUAUAGAAAACAUCUAGCAUUUCCAGAGGC